rnacentral:rRNA from 1 species
UUUAGUUAUAAAGACUACCAAGAUUAUACUA